rnacentral:lncRNA from 1 species
GUUUCAGGGAAAACGGUACUAUUUUUUUCUGCCAUAGGCGACAAUACUAACAUUUUCUAAAUUUACCACUUUUUAUAAUAAAAACCUGGACAAAAUAGUUAUGUGUGGUUUUAGUACUUUAUUACUCUAUUUUAAAAAUUGAAGCCAAAUAGUAUCAUGACCAAUUUUCAACGGAGCUUGUUUAUGUUAUCCAUGCCCAUCGUCAUUUUACACCAAAUUUGUGAAAUUUUGGAAGCCUUUUCG